AAAAAAAACAAACCCUGGUUUCUGUGUCCAACAUUUGACCGUCCGUCUUAUUUAAAAAAAUUAUGAAAAAAAUUAAAAAGAUAAGUCACGCAUAAAGUAUUAAUUAUGUUUUAUCAUCUAACAACAAUGAAAAUACUAAUUAUAAAAAAAUUUCAUAUAAGACAGACAGUCAAACGUUGACAUGGAAAUCCACAGUUUACCUUAAA
rfam:Oryza glaberrima chromosome 1 Oglab01_unplaced072_2, whole genome shotgun sequence.